rnacentral:lncRNA from 1 species
GUCCAGGUGGAGGGUAGGUUCCUGGAGGUGGAUAAUACCCUCCAGGGGGUGGGUAUUGUCCAGGCGGUGGGUACUGUCCUGGAGGAGGAUACUGUCCAGGUGGAGGUUGUCCAGACAUUUCUUCACUUGCCUCAGACAAGAGCUGAUUGAGAAAAUAGCAGUCCCACAGCUUCUACGUCCAAUCAAGCUGAGGAUUCUAGAGUCCUACAAUUCUAGAGAACAUUCAAUAUUUCUAAUCAUAUAGCUCUCACACAGCAUAAAAAUCCUAAAACCCAUGUUCAUAAUCAGAAAUAUGACCGCCGAGUCUAGCUAAGUUAGUAUUGGGUUUUAGGAUUACGAUUUAAACAUUUUUUUACCAUAUAUAUUUCAUGAAGUUCCAUUGUAUUAUAUUAGUUUGCUUGGUGUCUCACCUUUGGAGCUGUAAAACAUUUACUCAUACUUUUUUCUGUGAGCUACUUAUGNUAGUAUUGGGUCUUAGGAUUACGAUUUAAACAUUUUUUUUACCAUAUAUAUUUCAUGAAGUUCCAUUGUAUUAUAUUAGUUUGCUUGGUGUCUCACCUUUGGAGCUGUANAACAUUUACUCAUACUUUUUUCUGUGAGCUACUUAUGCUUAAUAUGUUGCUGUAUCUUCCGUGACCACGAUCUUACAGACCAGUUUCAGCAAUUCCAAGAGCCGUUCAACUCAGAGGACAAAAAAAUUACACUUGUCCCAAUGAAUUCCAGUUCUCAUGAGUGUAAUAUUUUAUUGUUUUGUCCUCUGGUUUUUGGAAUAUCCUACAUAAGAUGUCUAUAUAAAUUAUAGAAUUUCAAAUGCUUUCUUUUUUAAGUCUACACAUUUUCCUGUCCUUUUUUCAUGUCAGCACCAACAUUAUGUCACAAUUGUUUGUGCAUUAGCAGUCAUGUAUAUAUAAUUUAUUAAACACUUUAUAUUCAAUGAAUGAUAUUGAAUAACUUAACUUAAGAAGUUUUUCCAGUGUAAUGAGCUUAAUAUCAAUUGCUUCGCUUUGCGACUGUCACCUUAAUCCUGGUCCUAGAUGGAUUUAUACUCGAUUUUUAAGCAAUUAGGAUUUAUUAAAUUCAUAGAUAAUCGCAAAUAGGCAUCUAUUAAUGAAUUCAUUUAAGAAGGCAAAUAACAAUAACCUGUUUUUACAGGAUUUUACACGAAAGGCCUAAAUGGUGACAAUUUCACUGUGAUUUAAUUUUGAUUUAAAUAUAGAUUUAAACUUAUAGACAUAAGUGUUUUACUGGUAUAACUCAAACUUAACAGGAUUGAAGUAAAAGGUUCUGUUUUUAAGCUGAACACAUUAAUAUAAUUACUUAAUUCAGUAUUCUAGAGGGACUUUGACGACAUAAGCUUAAGAUGUAAAACUGUCUAUUUGUGAACAGCUGUCCAGCCGCAUAUAUCGAAUCGAGACAGUGAAACAGCUCUUAGUGAGUAGCUUAUAUGGAGAAAACACAGCACUAGCUUUGAAAAGAAAAAAAGGGUCUCAUGAAGAAAUGCUCAUCGGGUAAUUUCUAUUGAAGUAGCUGAUCAGGAUUAUCAUGACCGGCAGGAAAAAACCUACGAUCACCAGUCCAAUG